rnacentral:sRNA from 1 species
UCCCAGACUUCCCUAAUCAUUUCCCUACUUACGUACACUGCUCUCUGUGUCGCUAUAGCACCUGCUGUUCUCGAGCUUAUGCCAACCACAUGAUCAACAAUCAUGUUCCACGGAAGAGCCCCAAGUAUUUGGCUUUGUUUAAAAAUUCUGUGAGGUAAGAAAAAACUUAUUGGCAGCAUCUUAAUUUUUCAGGUUUUUACAUUAAUUUUCAGGUUUUUCAUUAUUUGGAGAGGUGGUUAUGUGAAUUAAUUUCAGAAAAAGGAGAAAGUGGGAGGGCAUUCCUUUUCUUUCUUAAGCCUCAAAGCUUAAUGGUCUCAAGUGUCACUGCUGUAUUUGUCUUACAUAGUCUCAAUUCUCUUUUUUAGUGGAAUCAAGCUGGCCUGCACUUCAUGUACCUUUGUUACCUCUGUGGGCGAUGCUAUGGCCAAGCAUUUGGUAUUCAACCCCUCUCACAGAUCCAGCAGCAUCCUGCCACGGGGUAAGUAGGAGA